rnacentral:lncRNA from 1 species
CCAUGUUCAUAUUCAUCACAAUCUUCUCACCAAUACAAUCAACAAACCAAACUCAUCAUCUUGAAUCCAAUAGAAUGAUUUAUAGAAGCUAAACCACACAUCAAGAAAAUCUGAUAAAACUACAAAAAAUAAAAAAUUGAAUAAAACAAACGUCAUGAAUUAUAUUACCUUAUAAGCCUCCUCCUUUUUCUUGCUCCUCUUCUUCUUUCGACCACAGCUUCAAAAAGCACCCGAAGAAUCCAACUUCCUCAGUCAACUACUAACAAGUCUCCAUCAAUCAAUACAAGUAGAUGCAAGAGCAUAUAGCUUCCUUCAGAAAGACAACAAAACAUUCAAAUCAACACAUGGGCAAGGGCCAGCCUCUAAGUUGACUUAAGGAAACUCUCCAAGAAAAACAGACGGCAGCAGACGAACUUGAUUCGAGGCCUUCAAGAAAAGCCCAAAAACCAUAAAUAUUGCUUCUUCCAAAGCAAUAAUCAAGAGCAUUAAUUGUCAGGCCAAGAGAACAAAAACCCAAGCUUCUUAUAUGGCAACAAAACACAGCAAUUGUUUUUCUUAUUUAUACUAAAUUUAAGCACCACCAGCCCACCAACCAGCAUUUUCUAUGUACUGCAAAGAAGUACAAGGCAAGGCUGCGUUGUAGUACAACACUCAUCAGAACUCCAACGAUGGCUGCUAUACAUUUGAACAGAUGUCAGGUUCAUAAAUUUGAUCCUCGUCUCGUUGACUUAUUACCACCACUUUUCACGCUCUCUUCAUCCUUGUAGUACAGAUAUAGAGAGAAGAAAAGUGGGUAAACUUUUCUGAACAGUAGCUUUGCCACUAUUUUUAUGCUAGAACUGGUAAACUUCCAAAGGGUAUCAACUCUUUUUUUGUAACUCUGAUUCCGAAAUCAAAGGAGCCGAGCAGAUUCUCCCAUUUUCGUCCGAUAAGCCUGAUUCACGGGCUAUACAAAAUAGUGGCAAAGCUACUGUCCACUAGGCUUCGUCAUGUCAUGACAGAUGUGAUCAGUGUUAACCAGUCUGCAUUUAUUGCUGGGCGUCAGAUUCUAGACGGGUUCAUGAUAGCAAAUGAGGUUGUCCAUGGUGUGCGCAGCAAGAAGAAGCAUGGCCUCUUAUUGAAGGUAGAUUUCCAUAAAGCCUUUGACUCAAUUUUAUGGGAACAUAUUGACACAAGUAUGGGAUACAUGGGUUUUGGCUCACACUGGAGGAAGCUGAUAUUCGAAUGCUUAUCCACUUCAAAAUUAGUCAUCUUGAUAAACGGUUCUCCUAGUAGAGAAUUUAGUUUGGAGAGGGGUCUCAGGCAAGGGGACCCACUCUCUCCAUUCCUAUUUGACAUUGCAGUUGAGGGAUUGACAGUUUUAUUCAAUAGGGCAUCAGCUUCAGGUUACUUCAAAGGCUUACAGACUACCCCAGGUCAUUACUUAACUCAUUUGCAAUAUGCCGAUGACUCUCUGAUUUUCUUGCCAAAUGAUUUUCCCUCUCUUCUACAUGCCAAGAGGAUUCUACGUUGGUUUGAGAUCAUUUCGGACUGAAAGUUAACUUCUAUAAAAGCUCACUAAUAGGUAUCAACUUGGACAACGACUACACCUCUAGCCUGGCGAACUCAGUUUUCUGUCGUAGUGAUACUUUCCCGGUUAGGUACCUUGGACUACCUCUUGGAGCCAAUCCCAGCAGACUCUCUACUUGGAAACCAGUGUUGUCCACUAUCAGAGCAAAGCUACUCACAUGGAAAGGGAAUUUUUUGAGCAUGGCGGGAAGGUUAUGUCUAAUUAAAUCAGUCUUGAGCUCUCUUCCUCUGUUUUACAUGUCAGUUUUUGCUAUGCCAAAGGGUGUUACUAAAGCCAUCUCUUCUCUAACCCGGUCUUUCCUUUGGAAAGGAAGCUCAACUUCUCAUGGCCUUUUUAAGGUGGCUUGGCACAAGGUAAUAAAGGAUAAAUCUUCUGGUGGUCUCGGGCUGGGAUCCAUCCACAACAAAAAUCUGGCUUUGCUCUUUAAAUGGCUAUGGAAUCUAGACAAUGGAGUGGCAGGAGGCUGGCAAGAACACAUUCUUCUAAAAUACCGACCUCACUUUAUAAAUGGUAUCCCUGAGUUUGCAGGUUCUUUAUCUCCAACUUGGCAUGGCAUUGUUUCGGCAAUCUUCUCAACACAAAACAUAGCCAAUCUUUUACAUGCAAAUGUCGGGUUCAAGGUGGGUGACGGGAGGAACAUCCGGUUUUGGACUGACUCUUGGCUCGGCUCUGCAACCAUCUCCAGCUCUUAUUCCCCAGACUUUAUAACCUCUCCUUGCAGCAAAACACCAGCCUUGCAGAUAUAUACAAUUUGACAGAUGCAUCUUUAAACCUUCCUGGAGAAGAACCCUUCGGCCUCGUGAGAUCUGCCAAGGGAGAGCUUGAUCGCAGAGGUGCAGCGUGGUCUCCUUUUCUCAGAUGGUGCAGACUGCAAGUUAUGGAAAUUCCACAGCUCUGGCAUGUACUCAGCUCAAUCAGGUCGCCUCUUCUUUGAUAGUCUAUCGGCCACUGAAAAUAAUCACUCCCUACUCUGCUAUGGAAUGGUUAUGCCCCCCCAAAAGUGGAUGUGUUCAUUUGGCUUCUUCUUCAUGGAGGUUUGAGUACAAGAAGUUUUUUAGCUGAGAGGAGAAUCAUAAAUUAUGAGGAAUCUCACUGCCCAUUCUGCUGCAAGGAAACCGAGAUAAUUAAUCAUCUUUUCCAUUGGUGUCCUAUAACAUGGUCUCUUUGGGGUCGUUUCUUGAAAUGGUUCGGGUGCUCAGGUUGUCUGCACAAAGACCCAAAUCAAAAUCUACAGGAAUGGUCCGGAUUGAUUAAUGGAAAAUUUCAGCGACGUGCUAUUACCCUCCUCUGUAAAGGUCUGUAUUGGUCAAUUUGGAUAGCGCGCAACCGCCUAAUCUUCGAAUCCAAGGCUCCUGAUUGGGAUAUGAUUUUUGAUCUCACUUUUCACCGUUUGGCUUUCUGGUUGAAGUCCUCAGUUACAAAUUUCAGCUAUACAGGCUCAGAUCUUUUUAGAAAUCCUGAAUGUAUUAUGAACUGGACUAACUAAUUAAGUCCCUCAUCACUUUGGUCUUUUCUUUCUUCAUAUUUCCAUUGUAUUCUAUCUUUCGUUCAGCCCCACUUACUUGAUGGGGCUGCUUAUUUAAUAUAUAAUUAUCUCGUUUACUAUCAAAAAAAAAAAAAAAAAUGUGGGCAAUCGUAAGCAUAAAAUUGCUUAAAGUGAAAAGCAAGAAAUGGAACUGCUAACUGGGAACUGGCGACUUCACUUGAAAGCAAGCUUGUCAAUUCUAUUCUGGUAAGUGUUUUGUUUUUUUAAUUAAAAUAGAAUAUUUUAGUUUUGAAACGUUUGAGCGUACCGUUUCGGGGUUGUACUGUUCAUAUAUAUAUAUACUGUUCAUAUAUAUAUAUAUAUAUAUAUAUAUAUAUAUAUAUAUAUAUAUAUAUUCAUCAAACAUAAUUCAAAUUUAAGAUAAAUUAAUUAUAAAUUAUGCAAUACAAACACAAUACUAAACAAAUAUAAUUUCAAAAUUUAAAAUAUUUUUAAAUAGUAAAGAUUAAAUAGAUAUUUAACUUAAAGUACUUCAACUUAAAUAAAAUAUCAAAAUAUUAUGAAAGUAAAAUGUUUUAACAAAAAUAUUUUAAAUAUAAAGUUAGGUCAAUGUUAUCAAGUGGCUAAUAGAAUCUGAAGCAUCCCUUGUUUUACUUAAAUUCCUACAAGGUCUAAACAUGAAAAAAAAUAACAUGAAUAUAAAUCAUAUAUAUUAGUGAUAAAUCUAAUUUUAAAAAAUUAAUAUUAUUGUUAAUGAAAAUAGUAAUAAUAAUUUUCAACAUUAUUAUUAAUAUCAUUGCUAUUGAAAAUAGUAAUGAAAAAGAGCUUUUUAUAAUCGGGUGGUUUAAUUAAUGAAAUUGAGUAAAGUUCAAUUUGAUUCAAUGGCUUUUCAAGAGCGGAACGGAACAUGUGGAAUGAAAUUGGAACGUUUCGGGCGGAAUUUAACCGAAAAAUCCGGAACGGACCGAGAUUUAAAAUAAGAUGAAAUUUGUUCCGUUUUGUUCCGUUUUUUGAAUUGGUAUGGAAUGUUUCAGCCAUUUCAAACGGAACAGAACGGAAUUGACAACCUUGCUUGAAAGUGCCUUCCCUUUACAGUCAAAACAUGUGUAUGGCAAGUUAAAAGUGGAUCUUGAUCCCUCUACUCUUAUUUCCCUUAAUUUAUCACCUUCUAUCUUGAUAUCACUCUCUUUAUUAUAUUCUUUAUUUUAGUCAACUGUAGCCUAGCCGUGAGACACCUCAAUCCCAACCUAACUUGUUUGGAUUAGAACCCAAAGACUGCUUCGUUAAAGAUUGAUAUUUAUUUAAUCAACUAUUGUACUAUACUAGGCAAUGACGUCGUUUAAUACUAAAAAAGUAAACAUUUUCAAUAGGAUGUUCUCUUAUCCCACGCAUAAGAAAAAAAAAAAUGUCACGAGAGAUUAAUUGUUAAGGGGUUAUAUUGAAGAAAAAAUAGUAUGAGGAUCAAAUUAACAUAGAGUGUAUAGUGGAAGGAUAAAAAAGACAACAUUAGCAAGGCGUGUGGCCAAAACAUGUCAAAGUCAGUUAAGAAGAGGAAAAAGGCCAAUUUUGAGGCCAAUAAUAUAGAAAUCUAAAAAAAAAACGAUAGAUGAUUGAUGUAAGAAAGAGAUAUGAUACGGAUGGUGGGGUGGGCCUCCGAAAUGGUGGGGAUGGUAUUCAUUGAAUGCCGAUUUUAUCAACCUUUAGAUGGGAUAACUGUUUCUGACCAUUAAUUUCUAGUUUAUAAAAUGAUGUGAUAAGAAUAGUUAUGUUAAAAAAAAUUGUGUUUUGAAUUUUAAAAAAAAAUAAGUUUUUUAUGUUUUAAUAUAAAAAUAAAUUUUGAAAACUAAAAAAAUAUAUAAAAUAACUAUUAACAUAAUAAUAGACUGGCAAUGACAUAGUUUUUUAAAUAUGAUUCUUUUUAUGCUACUUGAAAUUUAUGCAUGUUCUCUAUUUUAAAAAAUAAAAAUAUUAUUUAAAUAUAUUUUUAAAAAUAAUUAUUAUUAUAAUAUCAAACAUGUAUUGAUAUUGAUCUUGCUAAAUUUAAGAUAAUAUUGUUUCAAGAUUGUUUUUAUAGAAAAAAGUUAAAAUGUUAUCAAUUUAACCGGAUUGAGUUUAAUAUCUAUAAGAAAUUAUUUUUAGUAAAUUAGAGUAGGUCAUAAAAAUUUAGUCUAUUGGUAGAUGGAAUAAACUACACAUGAAUUUAUAAUAUGAUUGAUUUACUUCAUGUAAUUUAAAUUAAAGAAAAAAAACAUACAAUUCCUCUGCCUCAAAAUAAAUGAAAACAAAAAUACAAACGAAUUAUUGAAUUUUCAAGUGAUUUUAUUGUUCCUAUUUUGAAACUUGAAAUGUAAUAAUUCCUCAUCUAAUUUUUUAAUCGGGUGCAAUAAUUUAUUAUUUAUCACUUAGUUUACAAAAUAAAAUAAAACAUUUAUUUCAAAGCGUUGAUUUAGUAAUUAAUCCAAUUGUUUUCUACUGUGAUCACUUUGAUUCUGGGAUUGAGAGUGAUAAAUUAUCAUCGAAUUAAUUUUGAAAAUUAUCAUCGAAUUUAUCUAAAAAGGGAAUUACUUAGCGUGAGUAUCUCUCUUAUCAAGAUUGAUAGUUACGUGCAUUAGGGGAACCCUUUCGUCAUAGCACAAUCGUUCUUUUGCACCAAAAAGUCAUCAAAAAAUUAUUCCAAAACAAACACCACAGACACCAACCCACCCUCCAAGAAGCAAACAAUUUUGCUGAAAGGAAUAUGCAAUAAAUAUCUCCGUUUAAAUCACCUUAAUUCAGUGGAAAAUUAUGUGCGCCUUAUUUGUACAUUAAGCUAUGUGCAUGCAUCAAAGUGUGGUUUGAUUUGAUUAACUGCUUGACAUAAAUAAAAUGAAAAGAGUUCUUUGGCAUUUUUUAGAUGAAAAAAAAAUUACAAUGUUAUGAUAUUUGUUUUUCUCUGACCCAAGUUUUGUGGAUAUGAAGCAGUGAAGAUGUUGAAGUUACAUCUAGACUGCAAAAUUCAACUCCUUGGUUAUUAAAACUUAAAACUUGGUAAAAAAAUCUAGAUUACGAGUUAAGCUCUAUUAAUUAAAAUAAUAUUAUUUUAUUUUUUAAAAAUUAAAUUAAAUUUUAACUAAAUCAACUAAAUCAUGAACUAAUCAGUUUAAUAGUUUAUUACCAAUAAAUUAUGCCAUUUUACAUUUACUUAUUUUUUUGGGAGUAAGAACUCAAUUUUGAAAGGGACGGUGAGUUUCAGUUUUGAACUUUAUUUUUACCUUUUAUUGGAACUCAAUAUUGAAAGGGACGGUUAGUUAUAGUUUUAAUUCUAGGUGGGCUCGAUUGGAUGAGUUAUAGCAAGGUUGUCAAAAACAUUUUUUUGACACGACACGGAACAUACAAUAUAAACUCGACUCGUAAACUCGAAUCGUAAAAUCGUAAAAUCAAAAGUAAAAUUUUUUAACUAAAAAUCGUAAAAUCGCAAGUAAAAUAUUUUAACUAAAAUCGUAAAAUCGCAAAAUAAACAUAUUGCCACUUGUAGUUUUUUUAGAAGCCAUGUAUCCUACAAUUCAAGAAUCAUUUGUAUAAGCCAACACAAAGAACAUAAUAUUUAGCAUGCAGUUAAGGCCUGGAAUUGAUGAGAUGAUUCUGUUCCCUGCAGCGAAAGUCUUAGCCUAAGGGGCAUUAAUCAAUAGAGAUCUGUGUAUAGGCAGCUCACUCUCAAUUCUCAAAGCAUACGUGGGUAAAAUACCUUUGCAAAAUAUAGCUACGCAAGAGUUCAAAACAACAACAAUCAAACUUAAUUUUAUCAUCAAAUUCAAAACAACUUAGUUAACUAACCGGGACCAUCUAUAAAACCGAAAAAAAUACACACUUCACUCACAGAUUCACAGAUUCACAGAUUGCAGAAUUACAUAAUCUGCAACACCGCAAGCAAGAUCAAACUGAAAAAAAUUCACACUUCACACUUCACAGCAUGCCCAUUGCCCAGAUCAAACCGAAAAAAAUUCCCCGGACAGAAGCAAACCACUUAAUUGUAGAAUACCCAGAAGGGCCAGAACAUAAACAUGGAUUCACAAUUUCACAGCAUACCCAAAUCACAGCAUACCCACCAUUAGACAGAAAAUAACAAAGCUUGGGAUGGGAUUGAGAAUCAAUGCUUACCUUCGUCUCGCCAAGAACAGAGAGGGGACGAUUGGCGAAGUCUGGGUCCUCUGGGACUCUAGACUCUGGAGUCAAGGAGGGUAUGAGUCUGUGAGACAAGGAGUCAGGUUUAUCGAAGAUCCAACUACACUCUCCUUAGCCAGCAGGUAGAAGAGCAACAGCAAGCAGCGGCAGCAUACUACGAGUCGUCUCUCUCAGGUGACUCAAAAAACAACAAACUAACAAUAAAGCAAGAGAGAAGCUUCGUGGAUUGGGAGUCGGAUCAUAGAUCAAUAGCAAAUCAACAGCAAGGAAACAGUAAUCGAAUUGGUUUGUAUCCAUCCUCUGCAGCGAUCGGGUUACAAAGGCAAUCGAGCGGGAGUAGUUUCGGAGAGAGUUCGUUAUCGGGAGAGUAAUCGAAUUGGUUUGUUUCAUUGCUAAAUGCUAAUUUCCAUUUAGUUCCCGUGACUGUGAGCCCAUGCGUGACAUUUCAUUUAACUCGUGAAAACGUAACGGUUUUAACGUUUUUUGCGAGUUGAUCCGAUUUUUUGCGAGUUUGACUCGGUUUUAUGCGAUUUUAAUGGUUUUCGAGUUUUGCUUCCGUUUCUACACGUUUUGCUGGUUUUAACUCGUAAAAUCGUACGAUUUUACGAGUUAAAACGCAUUUUUAACAACCAUGAGUUAUAGUUUUAAUUCUAGGUGGGCUCGAUUGGAUUUCUUUGUUAAAAAAAACAAUAACAUGAUCAAUAUCUUCAAAUCAACAUUAGUGAUGUUGAUAUAAUUAACAUUUUUUGUACAAUAGGAUGUUUUGAUAAGCUUUUGAUUGCACUAAAAAAAUUACAUCCAUGUUCAGAGUACUGAUAUAUUUUUUAAGAAAUUAAUUAUUUUGUCCAGAGGAUUCGAGCAUUAAAAUAUAAAAAUAUGGAAGAUACUUAAUAUUUACCAACAAAACUAAGCCUGUGAGAGUUCACUUCAUACGAAUAGAUAUCUAUGUUGACAAAUUAUUUGCCACUUGAAGUUGAAGAUCAUGGCGUUUAAAAUGAAAUUAACGCAUUAUAAGCUAAUUAUAGCUAAUUAUGUGGAUUCCAACUCAUAAUUAGUUUCAUGUUAGGAGCGUGAUUCCAUGUUUUACUUAAGAAACAUUGAUUUGCACUUAUAUGCCACUUGAAGCUGAAGGCCUUUGCAUUUAAAAUUAGGUUAAUGCAUGUGGUGAGUAAGCUAUUAAUUUAUUGUGGUUUCCAACUUCAAAAUUCGAGAAUCAAUUAUAUUGUGGGUUAGUGAUAAAAUUUAAAAGAAGGAGCAUUCUUGAUUUCUUUCAUGUUAAAAGCAUUAAUUACAUGCCCUGCUUUAAAAAAAAUCAUGAUUAAUUUGCUAUACCAUAUUUGUUUUAACAAAAAAAUAGAGUGAAUCAUGCAUUGCGUGAAUAAAUAUAACUAACAUUUCAAACCUAUGUAUUUCGUAUCAAUACGUUAAAUAAAGAGUAUAGAUUAUAUCUCAUUUAGUUUAUAACUAGAUAUGUUGUCGGUAACAAUUUUUUUAAUAUAAAAAAAAUGAUAGAUUAAAAAAAUCCAACAAUAACAACAAAUAAACUGACAACAAAAAAAACAUAUAUGAGCCUAUUUGGAUUACUACACAACCCAAUGUUAACCUAACUGAAUAAAAAAAGAAAGAAAAAGAGAGUCAAACUUUAAAAAAAAAAUAACAAAUAACAAAAAAUAUUGACUAAAAAAAAAGGAUAAAAAAAUCAAGCAAACCUAUGCUUGAAAUAUCGCAAUUAUUGCAAACAAAAAAAUUAGGACCAAACUUGCAGAUGAAAAAAUCAUAGGGUGUGAAAUUAAAAUUUUUUUGUAAUAUGAUAGAAUAUUUAUAGAUUUAAAAAUGGUGGGGGUUAAAUAUAAAAAAAAUUAUCGAGGGCUAACCCUAUAGAAUCAAACAAAAAAUAAAUUAAAAUAGAGAAUUAUACAAAAAACAAAUAUAAAAAAAAGUUUUAAAAGAGGAUAAAAAAUAAGACAACAUCAAUUUAGAAAAAGAAAAAAAAAGGUAAAUCUCUUAAACCUGAUUUAAUAUCUAAAAGUCGCAUCCUUUGAAAUGUUUUACCCAGAUUCAAUAAAAAAACAUAAUUUUCAACCAAUUUAAUUUUGAAAGAUGAAAUCGGUAGAAAAAUAUUAAUAAAAAAUCUCCAAAAAAAAAACAUUAAAUAUGAAGAAAAAUUUGAUAGAAAAAACCUAAGAAUGAUGCAAUUUAAUGAAAAAAAAAAAAACAUAAUCCAAAAUAAAAUAAAUAUCAAUUAAAAGAAUAAGAACCAAAUUAUAAAGAUUAAGCAAAAAUCAUAGGUGGUGAAAUUGUAAACAUAUAUAAAAACUAAGUAAACCCGAGCAACAUCCUCAAUAUGGUCAAAUCUUAAAAAGCUUGCAGCCUAUGAAACCCUGAAUCCGGAUUCUAUCAAUAAAUUUAUUACAAGCCGAUUUAAAAAUAUAAAUUUUAAAAACUUAUCAAAAAAAAAAAACAAAACAAAAAAAAGCUUGGAGCGAAACUGACUGUCAGCUCAAGUAAACAAAUCAAACAUACGGUUUAGGAUAUGAAAUUAAGAUGACUCUAUAAAUAGAAAAGCUAAAAAAACACUAACAACAAACAUAUUAAAUCAGGCUAAUCCUUCAGAUCUAGUACCUAGGUCAUGAGAUUGAAAUGACCACAUCAAAGGCAUACUUGAUAAAACAAAAAAGCAAGAUUCUUCAUCAAACAAAUAUUGAAUGAUGAAACUGAGAAAAAAAAUAAACCAAAAAAACAUUGUAAAAUAAAAACAAUAGCAAUAAAAAAAAUAGAACUAAAUUUUACAUAAAAAUUAAAUGAAAUUAAAUAUUUAGGAAAAAAUCAAAUCAAAUAUUUAGGGAUGAAAUUGUAAAAAACAAAUUCAUUAAGAAAAUGAUUUAAAAAAUAGCAAUUUAAAAAAUUAAGACCAAAUUUGACAUAAAAAUUAAAUAAAAUUAAAUACCUAGAGGUGGGAUUAGAAAAGGAUAAAUCAAUCAAGAAAAGAUUAAAAACAAAACAAAUAAAAAUUAAAUUAAUGAGUACCAAAUUUGAAAAAAAAAUCAAAAAAUCAAAUGACCACAGAUAAAAUCAAGAAUAAAAUUUAAUUAUAAAUAAUAAAUAUAAAUAAAACAAUUGCAAAUAAGAGAAAAGAGACUGAAUCAGAAGAAGAAAUAAAAUGAAGGGCUAGUAUGCAUUUUUUCCUAGUAUGAAUUUUUUCAUGGCCAGCACACAAUCUAAAAAAGAAAGAAAGAGAAGGAAAAUAAAAAAAAUAAAUAAAAGUAAUUUCAAGCUAAAUCACAUUGAACCACUAUAUAUGUGUCAUCCAGAGAGGAAAAGGACGCUGGAAUGAAUUAAAUGAUGUGGCAGAAUCAUGGUUACAACUAUAUGAGCCAACCGCACGCGCCGCCAAAAGGUGGUGGAGCAGCUAACUUGUGCGAGACAUGUGUCAAUUGCUGUUUUGUUUUAUAUUUUUUUUGUGAAAAAAAAUGAAAAUGUCUUUUGUACUAAAUAAUAUUAACAAACAAAUUAUGGUGAAACUACAACUAAGCCCCUGUAGCUAAAGUUAAAAAACUCAAAUUGUAAGGACAAUGUAGUAAUUUAAUUGUGCUUUUUAAAUGUGAAAAUACAAAAACGCUCUUAUGCAAAAAGCAUUGAAUAAUUUUAUUCAAGAGUUACAUUAAUAAAUUUUCUAUGAAUUUAAAAAUGCAAUUACUGAAAUAACCCUAUAUAAUCGUUAAAAGAUAUUUAUGUUAUGGUAAAAGGAUUGCCUUACCCUCGAAGUAAAGACAAGAUAAAAUGACCACGAAACAAAAUAAUAAUUAUACUAUUGUAAUAAAUAAUAAUUUAUAUCUCGGGACAUAAUAAUGUCAGUAAGGGGUUUAAUGUUUUGGAUAAUUCUAUAAAUAUUCAAGUAUACAUGUUAUGCUUGUAAAAAACAAUAGAGAUAGCGGGGCCAAAUGAUAUAUGUCUCCUUAUACUCUUUUGUUUUAAAAAUAUAUAAAUUCAUUCUAGAAUUAUUCUAAAAUUGAUUUAUUUUAUAUCUUCUUUUUAUCCUCCAAUGAAACAAGUUUUAAUCUCUUCUAAAAAACUAUAUAAAAAAUACUAACCAAACAUUACCUUGUUUCCUUGUGUAAAUAUUAAUAAAAAAAUGUUAAAUAAAUGAUAAAUGGUAUAAUAUUUGUUUUUCUUUGAGAUCAAGUUGUUCAAAGAAAAUAGAAAAGUGUGGGUUGAAUCCCAGGACCUCUUGGAAAGUCCAUUGUAUUUUUUUAUAUUAUUUAUAAUCUAAUUUCUAUGAAAUUCUAGAAAAUUUUAUAGCACCAUAAAUAAUAUACAUUUAAUUGGAUUUGGAUAAUAUAGCCUCUUUUAUUGAAAUUAAAUCUCUCCUUAUAUUAUUUCUUUUCAUAAAAGUAUUAUUAUUAUUAUUGCUAUUAUUAUUGUUAUUUUAUCAUAGGACUUUGAAAAAAACUUCAUUACACGUAGAAGUAGAAAGUAGAAAGAAGGUUUAAAGGAUAUUUGAAAGGGUGAUAGUGAUUACUUUUCAAAGUAAUUUUUAUUUUAAAAAAUAUUAAAAUAAUAUUUUUUUUUAUUUUUUAAAAAUUAUUUUUGACAUCAACAUAUGAAAAUAAUUUUAAAAAAUAAAAAAUAUAUUAAUUUGAAGCAAAAAAAAUUUAAAUUUUUUUAAAAACACUUUCGAAACACAAUGCUAAACAUGGUCUUAGCUUUGCCCUGUUUGUUUUUACGUUUCAAAAGUAUUUUUAAUUUUUUUUUAAUUUUUUUACUUUAAAUUAAUAUUUUUUUAAUAUUUUUAAAUCAUUUUAAUACAUUAAUAUCAAAAAUAAUUUUAAUAUAUUUUUUUAUAUAAAAUAUUUUAAUAAACAAUACCAAUUACACUCUUAAACAAACUAAUAAUGCUUUACCCCAAAAUCUAGCGUGUCCUUUCCCACCCCAACCCUAACCACCCAUUACAGCCCAAACCCUCACCACCACCACCACAUAAAUUUACAAAACCCCAACACGCCACCCAAAAAGAGCACCAAGCAAAGGAUAUUAUUGUACUUUAAACACAAAUACAAAAUCAAUGAGGGGUUUGUCAGAGACAGUUUUUGCAAGAACCAGUGCAGCUUUAAGCUGUUUGUUAUUGUUUACUGGGCUCUGGAAACCUUACCUGAAUCGCGAAGCAUCAAAGAAAGCCCUUGAACAUAAGAAGGAAAUCGAUAAGCGUUUGGGUCGUCCCUUUAUCCAAACAAACCCUUAUGAGUGGUGUGAGUGUGUCAAAGUUUCUGUUUUUGUUGAAAAGUUUGGAUUUGUUUUUUGCAUUUUUUGAUUUGGGUUUUUUUUAGGGGGGGCUUGGAGGAUCUUGUGAAUCUUGGUUAUAGGGGUCAUUAAUGGAAUAUACGGUUUGUUUUGGUUUAUUGUUUUUUGGAGGAUUUUGUGAAUUUUGGUUAUAUGGUCAGUUAAUGGAACGAAGAAUUUUGUGAAUUUGGAUUAUAAGGUUAGUUAAUGGCAUAUAGGUUUUGUUUUUAUUAUGUGUUAUUGUUAUAUGCUUAAAUUGUCAUUUACCUACAAAAGUUGGAAUUUUGUGUAUGAUAGUGGGGUUGAAGUUGAUAUUGCAAUGAGGGAUGUGGGUGGUUUAUUGUAGGGAAUAGGGAUUGGGGGAGGGGGGGUUAAGUGCUUUAGUGUAGAAAGGUGCUUUAAUUAGUGUUUAGGAUAUGGGGAGUGAUUGCUUGUGCCGAAUGAGAUGAGAUUAAGUUUCCAGUUUUGCUGGGAUGAAUGGAGUUGCUUUGUGGUAGUUGAAACUAAGUUCAUUUCAGAUUGAGUUAUUUGUUGAACUUUUGAACUGGUGGGUUGGAGUUUAGGCCUCUAGGUUGUUGAAAAGUUCAAAUUCUUGUGUGACAAUAGAGAUGGGGGCUAUGAGAUUAAGAUUGCGAUGAGGGAUCCUGGUGGUUUAGUGGGUUAUUGUAGGGAAUAGGGAUUGGGGGGGAUUUGAGUGUUUUAGUGAAGAUAGGUAAUUUAAUCAAUUUUUGGAACGUGGGGAGUGACUCCUUAUGCUGAAUAGGGUGUGUUUAAGUUUCCAGUUCUGUUGGGAUGAAUGAAGUUGUUUUGUGCUGGUAGAAACUAAGUUCAUUUCUGAUUGAGUUGUAUAUUAAGCUUUUGUACUGGAGCAUUGGAGUUUAGGCCUUUAGGUCGAUGUUAUAGCAUGCUUGAAUUGUCAUUUAUUUGCAAGAAGUUUGAAUUUUGUGUGAUAAUGGGAUGAGGACCAUGAGGUUAAGACUGCAAUGAGGGAUGUGUGUGGUUUGGUGGGUUAUUGUAGGGUAUCAGGGUGUUUUGGUGAAGAUAGGUGCUUCAAUCAGUUUUGAAGAUGUUGGGGAGUGAUUGCUCGUGCUGAAUGAGAUAUGAUUAAAUUUCAAGUUUUGUUGGAUGGAUGGAGUUAUUUUGGGUUGGUGGAAACUGGAGACCAAGUUUGUUUCUGAUAUAUUGGAACUUUUGCACUGCUGCGUUGACCUCUGGGUUGGUGCUAUAGUACUGUUGUUACAACCAUAGACAAUUAUAAUAUUUCAUGGUGUCUUCAAACGUGCCAUUUUUUUCCAUGCAGUCUAUACUUUGUUGGCUGCUACUAUGCAACAAAUAAUCAGAGUUUCUAAUGUCAACUGAAUACCUGAAAAUAGCCAUCAUAUGGAGUAGAUUUGAGUCUCUGCUAUAUCAUAAACUAAUGGCACAUGAUUAUUAGUUGCAUUUAUGUGAGUCCACCUUUUUUGAAAAUGAUACUACGUGAACACUGAUGGCUGCUAUGUUCAGUAAUAGCCUCCUGCGUGACUGACUGGGACAAGUUCAUAGUUGGAAGAAAUUAAAUUUGAAGGCUUGGUCUUAACCAAUAUGAUUGCUAUAACUGGAAAACAUAGAUAUUACUUCCUUCUAUGCCUGAUGAAUUUUGGAUCAAAACCCAACUUUUCAAUUAUGAAGCCUUCUGAUUGCAAUUGCUAUGUGGAAGAUUUAAACUGCUUUGUAACGAUCAAGCCUAUCCUCUCAACACUAUCCAAUAUGGCCAUGUUCUCAUAUUGAAAAUGUAAUUGAUUGGGAUAGAGGCUUUAUAAUUUAUGGUCGGUUUAAUGGUUUAUCAAUAUGCUGCAAUUGUGUAUUUUUAUUUUUGAAUCAAUUGGAGGAUUGGAAUCUAACAAGCAAGCUUUGUAUGAACUGGUGAUUCUUCCUCUGCGGAAACCUGAGCUCUUCUCACAUGGGAAACUUCUUGGUCCACAAAAGGGGGUAUUGUUAUAUGGACCUCCAGGCACCGGGAAGACCAUGCUUGCAAAAGCUAUUGUCAGAGAGUCUGGAGCUGUUUUUUUAAAUGUGAGGAUCUCUAAUCUGAAGAGCAAGUGGUUUGGCGAUGCACAAAAGCUCUGUGAGUAUAGAUUGCAUUUGAAUUGCCUCUCUUGUGCUGGAGCUUUUUCUUGCAUUUAGCAAAACAAUGAUGAUUUAAAAUUAUUGCCUUUUUAUUCUAAAACUUGCUGUCACCCACUGAUUAUGUUGAGUGAAAUUUAGUUUCACUCUGAUAAUGGAAACAAGGUAGUACUUUGUGAACAUUCAUAACUAAAAUUGAACAUUCCUAACUUGUCCUUGUUGAAGAUCUUUAUUAGCAGCAAGAUUUUGUUGGAUGCUCUAUUAACUUUUAAAAACAGGGCACUGUAGCUUGUUUAUCUAAUGGAUCUUACUCCGAUAAAUGAGGUUGUGAAAUGAUCAAAAUAUUGGUAUUUUUGUUGCUGUGUGGUAUUUCUAUAUAUCUUGUAUCAGGGAUAUAACAAGAGUAAUGAUUGGUUUAUAUUCUUGUAAUUGUGAAAGUGGUCAUUACUGUAUGUUGCAACUACAUCUUUGUGUUGAAACCAUCCCUUUUUACAUUCUUUUCUGCAUCUGAAUCCAUGCAAGUCUUGUUGGUUCUGUGCUGACUAGAAACAGAUUUAGAAGUAAUUAACUAAGUUUGAGUAGCUUUUUUGCUCCUAUCGAAGUUUUCAUAAUUUGAUUGCUGUUGAUUCUCUUCUAUGUUGCUGCUGCUGUUUUUAGCCUGGCUUAUAAACUUCAGCUUACUUUUAUAUUUAUUGAUGAGGUUGACAGUUUUCUGGGCAGUGUCGUACUACAGAUCAUGAGGCAUUAACCAAUAUGAAAACUGAGUUCAUUGCAUUAUGGGAUGAGUUUACUACAGAUCGUGAGUUCUUACUCUUGAAACAAGUGUUGCAUUUGUGCAGUGACUUGCUAGAAUGUCUUUUCAGGUCGAUUUCAGUGCAUGAAUCAAAAGCUUUUCUUUUGCUUUAGAUAUAAACUUGCCAAUCACCAAUGUUGACUGAUUUUGUUGAUGAUUUUAGCUCUUUGUAAGAGUUGUGGAACAUUGUUUGUAAAUGUUGAGAUGGGUUUAUUACUCUUUUUAAUAGUCAUUUAUGACUUACAAGUUAUCAGAAUUACUUUAUUUUGCUUGCAAAUAUUGCUGCUGUUAUGAGAACUGAAUCUGUUAGUCUAGUGUUGUUCUUUUAAGUUUAUAAGAAUUGUUUUAAUUUGCUUGCACAUUCGUAGGUUUGUAGAGCAUUUUGUUCAUAACACUUUAAGUCUCAAAAUACUCCUGGAAAGGGAGAUUGAUUUAAGUGAAUCAAGAAUAAGGAAAUGAUCAAGAAUAAGGAAAUGUUCAUAACUCAAUAAAACAUACAUGAUUUUAUAGUUAACACAAACUAUUGCUUGCUUGACCUAUUACAUACAUGGAAUAUUUUUCGUAGAAGUAACACUCAAUUAACCUUGAAUAAAAAAAAAGUGAAGGGAAUCCAAUACCAUGAAUCUGCCACUCUAGUGUUGUUUCAUUGUCAAAUCCACUUGAUAUGUUGUUUGCACUGCAAAAUUAGAAAGGUAAGACUGGUCAAAUAAAUUGUAGAGAAAAGAUAGCCUACAUAAACUAUGAACAUAAAACUUGAAAACUUACUUGAAAAUAUCAAUUGAAUUAUUUAGUUUCUUCUAGCACCAUGUUUGCAACAUUCUUCUUUGUUUUUUUGCUCUUGAGAUUCCAUUUAUCUUCAACCAUCCUAAAAAACCAUGAAGGUUUUUUUGUUCUAAACACAACGUAUCCCGUUGCAACUCCAAACACAAACCCACAUCCAUACCCCAUUGUCACAACUUUCCAUCCAAAUCCUUCUCCAAACAAUGUUGAAUCAUCUCCUUCAUCAAAGCUUGAUGGUGGCAAUGACGGUGCCUCAUCACCGUAGCAUUCUUUUAGUACUUGAAAUCCACAUAAACCUAAGUUUCCUUCAAAUGAGCUUGCAUUAAAGGUGUUGAAUUGCUCUCCACUUGGUAUGGGCCCCUCGAGUUGGUUAUGUGAAAGGUUUAGGAUUGCAAGAAAUGUUAGACCCCUCAGUUGCAUUGGAAUCCUUCCGGUAAGCAAAUUUGAAGUUAGGUCUAAUGAUUCCAAAUUGGUCAAAUUUUCUAAUGAUGAUUGGAUAUGACCUGUAAGGGAAUUAUGAGAGAGGUUGAGUUGUUGGAGUGCUUUUAGCUUUCCAAUCACCUUUGAAAUCUCUCCGGUGAAAUUAUUUUUUGAAAAAUCAAGUACUCUGAUGGUACUUUGUAUCUUUGAAAACUCAAUUUCUACACUUUUCCAUGUCAUUUCUAUGGAAUACUCAUAACUGUAAUUUGUUGCCCUCAUGUAAAUCAUGUUUUGAUCCGAGACCAUCAUUGCUUCAAGCGUGAUGAAAUACCCAGCUGGCAAUGGCCCACUAAAAUUAUUGCCAGAAAUGUCAAAAAUUUGUAAUUUAGAGAAGGAAUUAUAUGCAGUCGGACCCUUCACAAAACCUUGGAGUUUAUUGGAUUUUAGGACAAGAAUUUGAAGCUUUGGAAGCGUUUGUAGAAAGGAGGGAAAUGUAUCCUCAAUCUUAUUGUUACCAAGAUCAAGAACUUUCAACAUUGUGCAAUUGAUGAUAGACGGUGGUAUUUUCCCUUCUAAUUCGUUUCCAUUGAGGUUGAGAUAUUCCAAGCUAUUAUCUUUUGAAAAUGUUGAAGGGAUAGUGCCUUGAAGAUUGUUCAUGCCUAGAUGCAAUACCGAGAGCAUGUCGGUGAAGUUCCCCAAACAUAAUGGUGUAGAACCACUCAAGCUAUUGUUGGACAAGUCUAGGACCACAAGGGAUCUCAGCUUGCAAAUAGAAGAAGAAAUCUCACCUGUCAAUUUACUAUUGGAUGCAAGAAUAAGGAGUUCCAAGCUCUCUAGUUUGAAAAUUGAACUUGGAAUUGUACCAUGCAAGUGGUUAUUGCUCAAAUCAAGGUAAUUUAAUGAAAAUUCAUUUUGGAAUUCACUUAUAUUGCCUAUGAGAUUAUUGCUAUGAAGGUCAAGUAAUGUUAAAGAAGGAAGAGCAAACAAAAAGGAUGGUAUUGUUCCAUUGAACAAGUUACCAUAUAAACUUAGACUCUCUAGAUUUGAAAGGGUAUUUAAUUGAGAAUGGAUAGGGCCUACUAGUUGAUUAUUUGAUAAAUCUAAAUCUAAAAGAUUAACUAGGCUACCUAAAGAAUCUGGAACUUGACCCAUAAAUUUAUUGGAAAAGAGAUACAAGUAACGGAGAUGUACAAGGUUUCCAAGUAAUGGGAUCUCACCACUAAAAUUGUUACUUGAGAGGUCUAAAGAGGUGAUCUGUGUGAGAUUACCAAGCAAGGAUAGAUCUGACCUUAUAAUAUUACUGUUACUAAGAGACAUAACUUCUAAUGACUUUAGAUUACUAAUUAAGUCGUUUUCUAAAUAAACAGAAAUUCUUGUAUUAGAAAGACCUAACCGAGAGAGGACAUUACUCAAAUUGGACGAAGGAAAAGAGCCAGUGAGGCCUUUGUUGGAUGACAGAUCCAGUGAUUCAAGGUGUGGGAGGAGAAAGAUGUAACCCGGGAAUUUCCCCUGAAAUCCACAGUUUUUGAGGGAGAGAGAUGAAAAAGAAGAGGACAGAUUCGUCAAGGAAUUGGGUGCAACGAAAGACAUAUUUACAGAACUCAAAUCGAGUUUUCUUAGCUUGGUUAGGUUUUGAACAAGCUUGUCAAAUGAAAUUGGUUCUAGAAUCAAAUGGUUGUUCCAAAAGAGAUCAAGUGAAACCAACUCAGUGAGUUGAUGAAAAUCAUAUGGAAUUGGACCAGUAAGAUUGUUCCCUCCAAGAUCCAAGUACUGCAGGUGCUUAAAUUUCCCCAUUGAGGAUGGGAGUUUUCCUUGCAAUCCACACCAAAAGAGUUUGAGCGAUGAUAGAGAAGAGGACAGAUUCAUCAAGGAACUGGGUGCAACCAGUGACAUGUCUACCGAACUCAGAUCGAGUUCUCUAAGCUUGGUUAGGUUUCGAACAAGCUUGUCAAAAGAAAGCUUGUCAAAAGAAAUUGGUUCUAGACUUGGGUAGUAGUUCCAAGAGAGAUCAAGUGAAACCAUUUUGGAGAGGUGAGAGAUUUCUGACGGAACUUGGCCUGCAAGAUCUAAACCACUUAGGUUAAGAUGUGUUAGAUUGGAGAACUGGCCAAAUCGAGAAGAAAUAUAAGAGGUGUUGAAAUCAUUGAAAGAGAGGUCGAGCUUUUGAAGAUGAUGGAGAGAGAAGAGAGAAUUAUUGGGAAGGAGGGUGCCGUAAAGCAUGCUGCAAGAGAGGUCCAGUGCAGUGACUUGCCCGGUUUUCAGGUCACAAGAGACCCCAACCCACAAGCAGCAGUCUGUACCCUCUUUCCAUGACUCUGUUUUUGGAAAGGGAUGUGGACAAUAGUACAAUAAAGCUGAACUAUUUUGAAUGGAGAAGGAUUGUUUGAAUUGAAGGAGAGAAAGAGAUUGGUGAUGAGCACACAAAAGAGAAGAAGAAGAAGAGUAAUUUGAGGAGAGUGGAGAUGAAAUUGUUGAGUGGAAAUGGAAGAGAAACAGAAUGAAGGAGAGAGAUUGAGAGAGGGACAGUGGUGAAAACCCCAUGGUGGCUGGCCUUACAGGAUUCAAAGUAUAAUUAACUGGGAAUUUAAGAUGAGAAGUAAAGAAAGGCAUUAUUAGUAGUAUUUAUAGACGAAAUCAAAGUCACUGGUUGAAGCAUUAAACAAGUUUCCUUAGCUGAAAGAGAAUCGGAGCAAAGAAAGACUAAUUUGUUCAUGAGCACAUAAUUGUUGGUAUUAAAAUACCUUUUUCAGGAUUUAAUAAUUAAAAAAAUAAAGUAAGAAUAAAAAUCGAUGGAAAUAUGCAAUAUGCAAGGUUCCUAUCAACUUGAUUCCCUGUUGACUUCAAACUGAAUUGUUGUUUCUUGGCACCAAUGACUUCGCACUAAUAUAAAAAAUAAUGUAAACUAUGGAAUUAAAAUGAUAAUCAAAGUCCCUUAAUUCACUAAUACAAGUGUUCAUAAAUUGAGGUGCUGGACAUUCAUGUUAAUUAAAAAAAAUAAAAUUGUUAAUUAUGAAAUAUUUAUAAAAUAAAAUAAAAAAAAGAUUUAUGCGAAGAUUGCUAUGCUCACUAAAAUAUAAUUUCCAAGAAAUUCAAGCCAAAAAAUCGGAAGAAAACUUAAUAAUUUACAAUUUAGUCUACAUUUCUAGUUGCACAUCAGCUUUAAAGGCUAUUAUAAGAAACUACGUAGGUUAGUCAAAUAAAUAAAUAAAAUAAAAAUGGCUAAAAUAUUGAUUUAUUAAUGAGAAUGCCAAACAGAUAUUUUAUUAAUGAGAAUAAGAAUAGGAACAUGACAAUAUUGAUUUUCUAAAGGGAUUAAAUAUCUUUUCAGGGGUUGUUAAUUUUAUUAAAAUUAAUUAAUCCUUUUACUAUUAAAAAUCUUGUGGGGGGAUAGAAAGUUGUUGGAAGAAAACGGAUAAUUAUUUUCAGCUGAAAUCAGUCCUCAUGCAUGUAUAUGGUGAAUUUUGCCUAGAAUUGUUUUGCAUGCGAUUGUUCAUUCUUAAAUGCAAAACUAAGAGUCUUUCGCUGAAGUUUCCUAAAUAUGCUUAUUUUACAAGUUUCCUACAUGUAUAUUGUGUAGAACCGCUCAAACUAUUAUUUUACAAGUUUCCUAAAUAUUUAGUGAACAGAGCAGCGGACAGGAAAACAGAGCACAAAAAUGUUAAUUUUGGAAAUUAAUUAAUAUUGCCGUGUUUCCAACACUCAGUGCUCCUGUUUAAUCACCAAUCCUUGCAAGGAAAUAUUCGCAAUUGAAUAAGACUUUUCUGGACCAUUACCUAUUGCUUUCUGACCUUGAUAUAAAAUUGAAUAAGACUUGAAGGAAAACAGAGCACAACGAUGAACCAAGGAAUGGAGUUUGAAGGUUCUUGCCCUCAAGAUGCUGUGGGAUUGGUCGUCCUCAAAGGUCUUUCUCUUUCAGCAUCAACAAGGGAGAACCGAUCUUCAUUUGUUCUGUCCUUAACCCCCAAGUCUUCGGAACUUGGAUGCAUAGAUAUUGUCCACUCAUUCUUAAAUGCAAUACUAAGAGUCUUUCGCUGAAGUUUCCUAAAUAUGCAAUAUUUAGUGAAUGUUUAUGAAUAACAUUAUACUGAACCAGUACAGGAAAACAGAGCACAACGAUGAACCAAGGAAUGUUUAUGAAUAAUAUUUAGUCGUCCUCAAAGGUUGCUAUGCUCACUAAAAUAUAAUUUCCAAGAAAUUCAAGCCACAAAAUCGGAAGAAAACUUGUUAAUAAUUUACGAUCGUAGUUUACUCACAGCUUAAGCAAGUGGGCAUGCAGAGUUAAAGAGUCAUCCUCACCUUCUUAUGUCCGCUUCAAUCCAAUCUCCAGUCUCCAGUCUACACGUUCUGGCAAUAGCUUUAUUGAACAGAAUCUAGAAAACUGACAAACAAUGGAAAAUUAAUGGAGUUUGAAGGGAGAACCAAUCUUCAUUUGGUCUGUCCUUGAUCUCCAAGUCUUCGGAACUUGGAUGUAUAGAUAUUGUUCACUCUUCAUGUGGUGCUGAAUAUAUAUGGAAUUGAAGGUUCCCUUGCAAAUAUUUCCAUACAAGAGUGAGCGUUGGAUACACGGCAGUACUAAUUUCCAAAAUUGACAUUUUGGCAGCAAGUCCUUUUAGAACUUUCUUUGCAGCUCGUCUGAUGGCAGCUGUUCUUGGGGACAUCGAUCUACCCCUUCGCAUGCACUGAUAGAUUAUUAUUGCUAUUAUUAACAAGAACAGGUGACUGUGUACUUGAAGGGUUAAGCAAUUUAUGUGUUUCCCAGAAGAAGAAGAAGCAUUCAUAGCUUAGAAAAUAGCAAUGAAUAUAUAUGUGCUAAUAGAUACAGUUUGUGCUCUUCCUUUGCAGCUCGUCAUAUGGAUCAUACUUUUUGUGUGCCAACAAAAGACAACAAAGCAACCCUUGGUACAGAUUUUUGCUGGAUAAAUCCACCUUCGUUUUGUUUUUUGUGUUAAUACGAAGAAAAAUCUGAAGGAGUGCAGUGCAUAGCUGUUGUAGUGUACUAACCGAUCUUGCAGUAAAAUUGGGACUCUCGUGAAGUGUCAAUUUUAUAUUAAGGUCAGAAAGCAAUAGGUAAUGGUCCAGAAAAGUCUUCGGACCUUAGAUAUAUAGAUUGAAUUAUUCAAUUGCGAAUAUUUCCUCGCAAGGAUUGGUGACUAAACAGGAGCACUGAGUGUUGGAAACACGGCAAUAUUAAUUAAUUUCCAAAAUUAAUAUUUUUGUUGAGAUCAAGUUUAUAUGAGCAGCAAGUUUAUGUGCUAAUUAGAACUUUCUUUGUACUUAGACUAGCGAUAACUGUGUUCUUGACAUCAAUGUAUUAAAACAAUGUAAAAAUAUGUUAGCAAUACAAGAAUGUUGAUUUUUUUGUAAAAAAUAAAUCUUAAAAAAUAAAUAAAUAACAUAAAAAUAUUAUUUUAAUAUAUUUUCAAAUAAAAAAACACUUUAAAAAGUAAUUUCCACCGUACUAACAUACUUUAAGAAUAAAAACACAACAAUAUUGAUUUUCUAAAAGGAUUAAAUAGUGUUUUAGGGGUUGCUAUUUUUUCUUUAAUUAACUACUACUUUUAGUAUUAAAAGUAAUUAAAUAGUUAUUUGACCAAUUUUAAUCAUGCUUAUUUCAGUAAUAUUUUUUUAAAAUACUUUUCUUUCUUAUCAAUCUUUCAAUUUAUAUGCUUUGAUUUUUUUCUUUUUUCUUUUUCCUUUUUCUAUUUUAAAUAAAAAAAAUAAUUUAACUAUUAGAUUAUGUAAACAAAUAAUUUAAAAAUAUAUAUGCAAUAAAUGAUGAAAAUUAUAAACCCUUUACUUUGAUAGUUCAAGGAAUAUUUAUAACCUUUGAACUUUGUUAUUUUGUUGAAGUGGAGAGCCUGAAAAGUUAUUUCUUUUUUAUAGUAAUAAUAAAAAAUAAAUAUUUCUUACACAAUAUUAAACGAGAAAUAAAUAUUUAUUGCAUAAUAUUAAUAAAAAAUAAAUAUCCAUUAUAAAAUAUUAAUGGUGACACUUAUCUAUUAUUUUACAAGUUAGACUUGAAGGAAUUUCAGAGCAGCGUACCGGAAAUUAAAGAAAAUAUUUAGUGAAAGUUUAGGAAUAACAUUACUGAACCAUUACCGGAAAACAGAGCCCUCAAGAUUGGAGUUUCAAGGUUCUUGCGUACUAAAAGAUUUUUGUUUUCCACCAUCAACAAGGGAAAACCAAUCUUCAUCUGCUCUGUCCUUUUCCUCCUUGACGUCCAAGUCUUCGCAACCAUACAAUUAUUCAAUAUGGAACUGCAGGUUGAAUUAUUCAAUUGCAAAUAUUUCCAUACAAUUAGGUCCCUUUGUUGACUAUGCAAGAAUGUUGGAAACACGGCAAUUUUAAUUUCCAAAAUUGACAUCUUUCCAGCAAGUCUACGUGCGUGCACUUUGUGCUCUAAUUAUAACUCCCUUUUGUGUCUCGUCUGAUGACAACUGUUCUUGGAGACUUCUACCCCUCUAUGCCUGGUUUUUCUUGGUAUCAUUGCAUCUUUGAAGUUUGGUUUUCCUUACAAUUUACUUUAUCUUUCAUUAGAUUUCUCUACAUUGUAAGAAAUAUUUUUUAAGUGGAUCAUAUGCCAUGUCAUGUUUUCAAAAUAAUAUUAAUUGUGUAUAUAUUAUAAAAUUUAUAAAUGAUAAUUAAAUGCUUGGAGUCCAUUGCUCUCUAAUGAUGAACCAAUUAAGUACAAUACAUAAUGGAUGAAAGUGAAAAAAAUCAGAUUAAUGAAAGGAUCCCUAUGCAAGCCAUAUUAAAUAUUACGUAAUGUCAUGUAACCUCCAUCAAAAUAUAGAAAAUUUAAAGUUUGGUAUUGACGGUUCAAUCAUAGUAUGGGCUAAAUCCACUCAUUUGACAUGUGUUGAGCAUAAUACAAAUAAUAAAAAAUAAUUAAGUCAUAAAUACAAUUAAAAUUAUAGAGAUUAAAUGUAUGGUUUGCAAAACUACGUACUAGGAUUAAGUUAUAAUUAACUCAAAUAAAAAAGAAAUUUAUGCAAAGGCUCGGGUUCCCUAGGUUUCAAGGACGAAGAAGUGCUUUUUAGGACCCGUUGAUAGAAAACUGUAUAAAAGUGAUUACAAUUACAGAGAGAAAAAAAAGAGUAAGAUUUUAGAAGAAUUAGUGAAUUAAAAGAGAAGGAGGAGGAGUGAGAAAUGGUGGAUUGGUAAUUUAGAAGAAUUAAAUGCCAAUAACAGUUUAAUCCUCGGAACUAGGAGACGAUAAUGCAUUAAUCGAGAUUAAGUUGUCUUUUUCCAUCAAAUAGCUAGUCCGCUUGGCAAGAACACAAGUAUUAAAAAGAUUAGCAAAACUUGUUCAAAAUAUAAACAACACACGAGCACAAGUUUGAACUAUGGUAUUCUCUUGUCGGGUAAAGGGAGUGGUUACAAUUCCAGCCUUUGAGAGGAGCUUAGUCCAUGUUCUGAGGAACAUAAAUGCAAGAAGACCAGUGGUGAGAUUCAGCUUCAUGACUAUAACACUGUAUAUGAUCCCAAUUGCUAUGCUAGCAACAAUUCCCCUAACUGUAAUCUGUUUAGUCCAUGGAGCAAUCCUCUUGAUAUCCAUGUUCAUAUUCAUCACAAUCUUCUCACCAAUACAAUCAACAAACCAAACUCAUCAUCUUGAAUCCAAUAGAAUGAUUUAUAGAAGCUAAACCACACAUCAAGAAAAUCUGAUAAAACUACAAAAAAUAAAAGAUUGAAUAAAAACAAAACGUCAUGAAUUAUAUUACCUUAUAAGCCUCCUCCUUUUUCUUGCUCCUCUUCUUCUUUCGACCACAGCUUCAAAAAGCACCCGAAGAAUCCAACUUCCUCAGUCAACUACUAACAAGUCUCCAUCAAUCAAUACAAGUAGAUGCAAGAGCAUAUAGCUUCCUUCAGAAAGACAACAAAACAUUCAAAUCAACACAUGGGCAAGGGCCAGCCUCUAAGUUGACUUAAGGAAACUCUCCAAGAAAAACAGACGACAGCAGACGAACUUGAUUCGAGGCCUUCAAGAAAAGCCCAAAAACCAUAAAUAUUGCUUCUUCCAAAGCAAUAAUCAAGAGCAUUAAAUGUCAGGCCAAGAGAACAAAAACCCAAGCUUCUUAUAUGGCAAAAAAACACAGCAAUUGUUUUUCUUAUUUAUACUAAAUUCAAGCAC